rnacentral:tRNA from 1 species
GGGGGCGUAGCUCUAACCGGGAGAGCGCUGCGUUCGCAACGCAGAGGUUGGCGGUUCGAAUCCGCUCGCCUCCA